UUUUUUUUGAGAAGAGCAGCUGUGGAUUUUCCAGUAAUAAAAACAAGUCCAACUUUAUCGAAUUUGGCUGUAUUCUUGGAGCUGCUCUAUUAAUUAGGCCGUAUUUGUAAGGAGACAACAAGCAAAACACUUCUAAGUAGAAUUACACGAAAAUUGCAUAAUCAAUUGCUGCAUCAAAACAACAUUAACACUCCAUCGAAAUGUUAAGUGAAAAACAAAACAAAGAAACCCUUCAAAGUCACCAAAAUUUGGGAGAAGCCUUCACAUGGGAAUCACUAUUAUUUGUAUACAAGUUCCACUCCUGUGUAUGUACCGUGACUGGAAAAGGCAAUAUAAUCAAUGAAGCCUCACAUUAGUCUUAAUUCAUAUUCACCAGCCAUUGUUAUGUAUCUGACCCACGGUAGAGCCACGUAUCCACUUUUCUCAAUGAUCUUUAGAUACCGAACCUGAAUUCCAGAGACAGUAAAAUAUGGUAUCUCAAACUUCACACGGAUCGGAGCUUUUCUCUCAGGAGCUGCUUCUUCAGCUGUUAUACUAGGGAGACCAAAUUCUGCCCUCAACAUGUACUCCUUGUUACCAGGAAAAGAUUUGAUUUUCCAGACCAAAGCAUCAUUUUCAGGGGCAUAUGUAGCAGAACCCAUUGAUGUCCGGAUAUUAGGAUUUGUAGCAUCAGAUGGCACAGGCAAUUCAAUUUCAAUGUUAGUUGCAGUACUUCGCUCCUUAAAUUGGCUCCGAGCUUUCACCAUUAUCUCAAUUCGACUUCUAGAAUGCCUUUCAACUUGAGCUUCUACCCAAAUAAGAGGUUUCACCUGAGUACUAAGCCUAUACGUCAUCAAAUCAAAAGAUCCAUCAGGUGGUAUGAAGGAUAUCGUCCGAUCAUUUUCAAAUCUAGCUAAACGCACACACUGAUGGAAUUUGAUAUCAUCCAGAUCAAUAGCUUUCCCUUUUGUUGCUCGACCUUGAGCCUCCAGAAGUACUCUAUCAUUCAGGCCAAGUUUACAUUCAGGCAUGCCACUCAAGUAUGUUCUCAUCUUGAGUGCCCCGACAACAUCUGAACGUAUUAUUUGCCCAUUGCUGUUGACCAGUAUGUUGACACUCUCCACCACAUCUAAAAAUACUUCAUUCUUCUUGUACCGUAUCCCUUCACUUCGCCAGGACACAGCAUUUGUUACAGCCAUUGGAGGUCGCUGAGCAACUUCCAUCCUAUAAGCAUCAGUCUUGAUGAACUCACUAAGAAUCUUUGCUUCAGUAUAUUGAGGGAAACCAAAGUCCAUGAUUUCAUCAAGCAACUCAUACACAACCACAAAGUUAUCUCUCAAAGAUUCCUCUUCUAACACUUCAAAAUAAUGCUUAAACACAUCAACUACACGGUGAAGAAAGAGAAGAAGGCUGGCAGCAUUACAAUUCUGCCUAGAUGCAGUCAUCAAGUAAACAUUGUUGUGCUGUAUAAACAAGUAAGUCACUCCAUUGUCAUAGACCACUGGAUCCUGAGACUGUGGAUCACCCUCCUUCUCGAUGAGCUUGGUGAAGAAGCGCUCGGCCUGAACAGCAGAGACGUCGCCGCGAUAGUCGCGCCAAAUCAAGACACGGCCUUUGAUAUCGAGAAGAAAAAGCGCCGAGGCGGCGCCAGCCAUCGAUGGAAGGAAUCGAAUUUGCAGAUAUGAAUCAGCGACUGUGUUUUGCAACAGGUCAGAAUUGAAAAUGAAUGAAUCCAAGCGAAGAAUGAUCU
rnacentral:misc_RNA from 1 species